rnacentral:rRNA from 1 species
ACUCCUACGGGAGGCAGCAGUCGAGAAUUUUCACAAUGGGGAAGCCAUCGAUGGAGCGACGCCGCGUGGAGGAUGAAGGCCCUUGGGUCGUAAACUCCUGUCAUAAGAGAACAAGAAAGUGAUAGUAUCUUAAGAGGAAGAGACGGCUAACUCUGUGCCAGCAGCCGCGGUAAUACAGAGGUCUCAAGCGUUGUUCGGAUUCAUUGGGCGUAAAGGGUGCGCAGGCUGCGUGGUAAGUCGAAUGUGAAAUUUAGGGGCUCAACCCCUAAACUGCAUCUGAUACUGCCAUGCUAGAGGACUGUAGAGGAGAUUGGAAUUCACGGUGUAGCAGUGAAAUGCGUAGAUAUCGUGAGGAAGACCAGUGGCGAAGGCGAAUCUCUGGGCAGGUCCUGACGCUCAUGCACG